GUAGGUGGCAAGCGUUGUCCGGAAUUAUUGGGCGUAAAGCGCGCGCAGGUGGGUUCUUUAAGUCUGAUGUGAAAGCCCCCGGGCUCAACCGGGGAGGGUCAUUGGAAACUGGGGAACUUGAGUGCAGGAGAGGAAAGUGGAAUUCCACGUGUAGCGGUGAAAUGCGUAGAUAUGUGGAGGAACACCAGUGGCGAAGGCGACUUUCUGGCCUGUAACUGACACUGAGGCGCGAAAGCGUGGGGAGCAAACAGGAUUAGAUACCCCGGUAGUCCACGCCGUAAACGAUGAGUGCUAAGUGUUGGGGGGUUUCCGCCCCUCAGUGCUGCAGCUAACGCAUUAAGCACUCCGCCUGGGGAGUACGGUCGCAAAGACUG
rnacentral:rRNA from 1 species